GUACACACCGCCCGUCACACCAUGGGAGUGGGUUGCUCCGGAAGUAGCUAGUCUAACCUUCGGGGGGACGGUUACCACGGAGUGAUUCAUGACUGGGGUGAAGUCGUAACAAGGUAGCCGUAGGUGAACCUGCAGAAGGAUCA
rnacentral:rRNA from 1 species